GAAAUGCGAUAAGUAAUGUGAAUUGCAGAAUUCAGUGAAUCAUCGAAUCUUUGAACGCACAUUGCGCCCGCCAGUAUUCUGGCGGGCAUGCCUGUUCGAGCGUCAUUUCAACCAUCAAGCCCCCGGCUUGUGUUGGGGACCUGCGGCUGCCCGCAGGCCCUGAAAAACAGUGGCGGGCUCGCUGUCACACCGAGCGUAGUAGCAUACAUUCUCGCUCAGGGCGUGCUGCGGGUUCCGGCCGUUAAACGACCUACAUAACCCAAGGUUGACCUCGGAUCAGGUAGGAAGACCCGCUGAACUUAAGC
rnacentral:misc_RNA from 1 species